GCGUGCUUAACACAUGCAAGUCGAACGCGAAAGGGACUUCGGUCCUGAGUAAAGUGGCGCACGGGUGAGUAACGCGUGGAUAAUCUGCCCUUAUGAUUGGAAUAACAGUUGGAAACGGCUGCUAAUACCGGAUACGCUCAAAAUGAACUUUUUGAGGAAAGAUGACCUCUGCUUGCAAGUUAUCGCAUAAGGAUGAGUCCGCGUCCCAUUAGCUAGUUGGUGGGGUAAUGGCCCACCAAGGCUUCGAUGGGUAGCCGAUUUGAGAGGAUGAUCGGCCACACUGGAACUGAAACACGGUCCAGACUCCUACGGGAGGCAGCAGUGGGGAAUAUUGCGCAAUGGGCGAAAGCCUGACGCAGCGACGCCGCGUGAGGGAUGAAGGUUUUCGGAUCGUAAACCUCUGUCAGAAGGGAAGAAACUGUGCUGUGCUAAUCAGCAGUGCAUUGACGGUACCUUCAAAGGAAGCACCGGCUAACUCCGUGCCAGCAGCCGCGGUAAUACGGAGGGUGCAAGCGUUAGUCGGAAUUACUGGGCGUAAAGCGCACGUAGGCUGUUGUGUAAGUCA
rnacentral:rRNA from 1 species